AGUCGAACGGUAACAGGAUGUGCUUGCACAUCGCUGACGAGUGGCGGACGGGUGAGUAAUGCUUGGGAACUUGCCUUUGCGAGGGGGAUAACAGUUGGAAACGACUGCUAAUACCGCAUAAUGUCUACGGACCAAACGGGGCUUUUAGCUCCGGCGCAAAGAGAGGCCCAAGUGAGAUUAGCUAGUUGGUAAGGUAACGGCUUACCAAGGCGACGAUCUCUAGCUGUUCUGAGAGGAAGAUCAGCCACACUGGGACUGAGACACGGCCCAGACUCCUACGGGAGGCAGCAGUGGGGAAUAUUGCACAAUGGGGGAAACCCUGAUGCAGCCAUGCCGCGUGUGUGAAGAAGGCCUUCGGGUUGUAAAGCACUUUCAGUUGUGAGGAAAAGUUAGUAGUUAAUACCUGCUAGCCGUGACGUUAACAACAGAAGAAGCACCGGCUAACUCCGUGCCAGCAGCCGCGGUAAUACGGAGGGUGCGAGCGUUAAUCGGAAUUACUGGGCGUAAAGCGCACGCAGGCGGUUUGUUAAGCUAGAUGUGAAAGCCCCGGGCUCAACCUGGGAUGGUCAUUUAGAACUGGCAGACUAGAGUCUUGGAGAGGGGAGUGGAAUUCCAGGUGUAGCGGUGAAAUGCGUAGAUAUCUGGAGGAACAUCAGUGGCGAAGGCGACUCCCUGGCCAAAGACUGACGCUCAUGUGCGAAAGUGUGGGUAGCGAACAGGAUUAGAUACCCUGGUAGUCCACACCGUAAACGCUGUCUACUAGCUGUGUGUGUCUUUAAGACGUGCGU
rnacentral:rRNA from 1 species